rnacentral:rRNA from 1 species
UACGGAGGGUGCAAGCGUUAAUCGGAAUUACUGGGCGUAAAGCGCGCGUAGGCGGUUACGUAAGUCGGAUGUGAAAGCCCCGGGCUCAACCUGGGAAUUGCAUUCGAUACUGCGUGACUAGAGUCUGGUAGAGGGUAGCGGAAUUCCAGGUGUAGCGGUGAAAUGCGUAGAUAUAGGAAGGAACACCAGUGGCGAAGGCGACUACCUGGACUGAUACUGACACUGAGGUGCGAAAGCGUGGGGAGCAAACAGGAUUAGAUACCCCUGUAGU